UAAUCAAGUGUUUUAUGGCACUUUUUAAAUCCAUAUCCACCUUGUGUGCAAUGUCAGUCGAUCUUCUUCAUGGAGAUCGACCAAACAUCAACCUUUAUCUUUUAACUCUUUGCCUGAAAAAUAUUAUGAAUAAACAAUUCAAAAUA
rnacentral:misc_RNA from 1 species